rnacentral:rRNA from 1 species
GACGGGGGAUGCAAGCGUUAUCCGGAAUCACUGGGCGUAAAGCGUCUGUAGGUGGUGCUGCAAGUCACUGGUGCAAAACUCUGGCUCAACCGGAGGAAAGCCAGUGAAACUGCAUAACUAGAGUGUGGGAGGGGUAGAAGGAAUUCCCUGAGUAGCGGUGAAAUGCGUAGAUACAGGGAAGAACACCGGAGGCGAAAGCGUUCUACUGGACCACAACUGACACUGAGGGACGAAAGCUAGGGGAGCGAAUGGG